ACUGGGCAUGGUGGUACAUGCCUAUAAUCCUAGUCACUGGGGAGGCUGAGGUAGGAGAAUUGCAAGGUCAAGUCCAGCCUGAACAACUUAGCAAGACCCUGUCUCAA
rnacentral:sRNA from 1 species